rnacentral:RNase_P_RNA from 1 species
GAGAGAGGGAGGGCAGUUUCCGGGCCUUCUGGUCUGAGGAAAGUCUCCCCACCUUCCGGACACGCGAAUACCUGUAAAGGGUAUCGGGCGAGAGCCCGGGCAGCCGGGAAACCGGCUCUUGCGGUUUUACCGCAUGAUGGCACAGAAACGAUACCGGCCUGCGUUAAAGCAAUGAUAUGAAAAAUUGAGGUCGCGCAGGGUACGGAUGGAACGGCGAAUCCUCGCGGGUGCAAGUCGAAAUGGGAUCAAAGUUGUUGUUCGGACAACCUCCGUUUUGGUGUGACGCUUAGCCGAAUACUGCCAAUGCAUCUUUGCAUCAACAGAAGGGAGCUUACUCCCCUCACUC